CGAAAACAUCAGGGGAGCUUAACGGCUGAGAGGAAGGCAACUUCGACCCUUAGAACCUGUCCGGAUAAUACUGGCGUAGGAAGUUAGCGGCACAAGUGG
rfam:Lactobacillus saniviri JCM 17471 = DSM 24301 NODE_99, whole genome shotgun sequence.